CAGUCGCCGCGGGAAUACGAAGGGUGCAAGCGUUAAUCGGAAUUACUGGGCGUAAAGCGUGCGUAGGCGGUGAGUUAAGUCUGCUGUGAAAUCCCCGGGCUCAACCUGGGAAUGGCAGUGGAUACUGGCUCGCUAGAGUGUGUCAGAGGAUGGUGGAAUUCCCGGUGUAGCGGUGAAAUGCGUAGAGAUCGGGAGGAACAUCAGUGGCGAAGGCGGCCAUCUGGGACAACACUGACGCUGAGGCACGAAAGCGUGGGGAGCAAACAGGAUUAGAUACCGCGUAGUCCCUGUCUCUUAUACA
rnacentral:rRNA from 1 species